GCAGCCAGGGAUCAAACCUCCAACCUUCCAGUUAGUAAUUCUACCUGCUGAGCUACAGUCUGUACUUCCUGAACAACACAGCCUCCUUUUGUUUCUUUAUUUCCAGUAGCAACCAGGACCAAAAUGAACCCUGACUCCAACAGACACUCAGGAUCCACCUGCCCAGUGACGAUUCCUUGAGGAUGUACCAUCUGAAGGUGGGCCCGGCUGCAGAUAUUCCACUGGACAUAGGAGAGCUGGACCUCAGCCAGCUGACAGCCUCUCUUACAACACCCUCAGGGCCAGAGGAGCCCUGCCUGCUGAAGAUGCUGCGUAACGCUCACAUUGGAUGUUGGUGAGCACCUUAUUAACAUCAAGAAGAACGGUCGUCAUAUUCCCAGCAGCCCAGUUGCUGUUAUGACCAACAGUCAGAGAUUGGUGAUGUGAGCCGUGUGCAUGUCGACCGGGCUGAGCGAGGCCAGGACUUUUGAGCCUACAGAGUUCUACAUUGACACUCGU